rnacentral:tRNA from 1 species
CUCAUAGUUAGCUCAGUUGGUAGAGCGCUCCACUUGAAAUGGAGGGGUCCCUGGUUCGAUACCAGGACCCGACA